UUUUUGGUCAAGCUACUAAGGGCUGCUGGUGGAUGCCUUGGCAUCAAAAGGCGAUGAAGGACGCGAAACCUGCGAUAAUCUUCGGUGAGCUGGAAAAAAGCGUUGACCCGGAGGUUUCCGAAUGGGGAAACCCAGUGGGGAUAGUUACCCACUAUUGCAAUCUGAAUUCAUAGGGUUGCAAGGCAAUACCCGCCGAACUGACACAUCUAAGUAGGCGGAGGAGAAGAAAUCAAAUCGAGAUUCCCAAAGUAGCGGCGAGCGAACUGGGAAGAGCCCAAACCGAAGUCUUUGGCUUCGGGGUUGUAGGGCUGGCUAAAGGAUUAUGAAGGCUUAGUCAAACAUUUUGGAAAAUUUGACGACACAGGGUGAUAGUCCCGUAGACGAAAAGCUAACAUAACAGGGCCAGUUCCUGAGUAGGGCCGGACACGUGAAACCCGGUCUGAAUCUGGGGGGACCACCCUCCAAGGCUAAAUACUCAUUGAUGACCGAUAGUGAACCAGUACCGUGAGGGAAAGGUGAAAAGAACCCCUGUUAGGGGAGUGAAAUAGAACCUGAAACCAGCAGCUUACAAACGGUCGGAGGCCUAUGACCUUUUUAAGGUAAUGGCUGACGGCGUGCCUUUUGCAUGAUGAGCCAGCGAGUUGCGCUAUAUGGCAAGGUUAAGGGAUUUACAUUCCGAAGCCGAAGCGAAAGCGAGUGUUAAAAGCGCGAAAUAAUGAGUCAUAUGGCGCAGACACGAAACCAAGUGAUCUAUCCAUGGCCAGGUUGAAGCACGAGUAACACCGUGUGGAGGACCGAACUAGUGAACGUUGAAAAGUUCUUGGAUGAGCUGUGGAUAGGGGUGAAAGGCCAAUCAAACUUGGAGAUAUCUUGUACUCUCCGAAAUAACUUUCGGGUUAGCCUCGAUCGUAACUCUAAAGGGGUAGAGCACUGAAUUCACGCGGGGGCCCACCGGCCUACCAAAGGAAAUCAAACUCCGAAUACUUUAGAGCAGAUCGGGAGAUAGACAGUGAGGGAUAAGCUUCAUUGUCAAAAGGGGAACAGCCCAGACCGUCGAUUAAGGCCCCUAAUUCUAUGCUAAGUGAGUAAGGAAGUGAAGUUUCAAAGACAGUUGGGAUGUUGGCUUAGAGGCAGCCAUCAUUUAAAGAGUGCGUAACAGCUCACCAAUCGAGAAACUUUGCGCCGAUAAUUACCGGGACUAAGCAUAGAGCCGAAAUCACGGGUUUGCCGUAAGGCAAGCGGUAGGAGAGCGUAGUAUGUGCGCUGAAGGUAUACUGUGAAGAGUACUGGAGCGCAUACUAGUGAUUAUGCAUGGCAUGAGUAACGAUAAAGGCGGUGAAAAUCCGCCUCGCCGAAAAUCCAAGGUUUCCAGGGUAAAGUUCGUCUUCCCUGGGUUAGCCGGUCCCUAAGCCGAGGCCGAAAGGCGUAGGCGAUGGAAAGCAGGUUAAAUAUUCCUGCGCCACCUAAGAUUUAUGGCAAUGGACUGACGAAGUGAAUGAAGUACGCGGACGAUCGGAAGUGUCCGUAGAGAUGUGAGGAAGGCUGAUAGGAAAACCCGUCAGCGGAAUUCCAGGCAUAGCUCAAGGGGAACCCACGGGGGAACCGAUGGUAUGGAAGGAGCUUCCAAGAAAUAAGUUCUAGCUGUCGAUGGUGACCGUACCAAAACCGACACAGGUGGAUGAGAUGAAUAUUCUCAGGCGCGCGAGUGAGCCCUUGUUAAGGAACUCGGCAAAUUAUCCUCGUAACUUCGGGAGAAGAGGAGCCAUUGAUGGUGAUUCCACUAGCUGGAUGAGCUGUCGGUGGCCGCAGAGAAAUGACCCAGGCGACUGUUUAACAAAAACACAGCACUAUGCAAAGACAUUAAGUCGAGGUAUAUGGUGUGAUGCCUGCCCAAUGCCAAAAGGUCAAAAGGAGGAGUUAGCAUUUCGGUGCGAAGCUCUGAAUUUAAGCCCUGGUGAAUGGCGGCCGUAACUAUAACGGUCCUAAGGUAGCGAAAUUCCUUGUCGGGUAAGUUCCGACCUGCACGAAUGGUAUAACGAUCUGGGUGCUGUCUCAACAAGGGGCUCGGUGAAAUUGUAGUAGCAGUGAAGAUGCUGUUUACCCGCAACUAGACGAAAAGACCCCGUGAACCUUUACUGUACUCUGAUAUUGGCUUCUGACUUGCCAUGUGUAGAAUAACCAGGAGACUGUGAAAUCGUGUCGUCAGGCACGGUGGAGUCAUCGUUGAAAUACUGGUCUUGGUAGGUUGGGAGUCUAACGAAAUUCCGUGAAACCGGAAUUCGGACAUUGUCAGACGGGCAGUUUUACUGGGGCGGUAUCCUCCUAAAGAGUAACGGAGGAGUCCAAAGCUUGCCUCAUCAUGGUUGGUAAUCAUGAGAAGAGCGUAAAGGUAUAAGGCAAGUUAACUGCGAGACCUACAAGUCGAGCAGAUACGAAAGUAGGGCUUAGUGAUCCGGCGGUUGAAAGUGGAAUCGCCGUCGCUCAACGGAUAAAAGGUACUCCGGGGAUAACAGGCUUAUCGCUACCAAGAGUUCAUAUCGACGUAGCGGUUUGGCACCUCGAUGUCGACUCAUCGCAUCCUGGGGCUGAAGAAGGUCCCAAGGGUUUGGCUGUUCGCCAAUUAAAGCGGUACGCGAGUUGGGUUCAAAACGUCGUGAGACAGUUUGGUUUCUAUCUGUUGUGGGCGUAGGAUACUUGAGAGGAGCUGCUUCUAGUACGAGAGGACCGAAGUGGACGAACCAAUGGUGAUCCGGUUGUUCUGCCAAGGGCAUUGCCGGGUAGCUACGUUCGGAAAGGAUAAGCGUUGAAAGCAUCUAAACGCCAAGCCUCCCUCAAGAUAAGGUAUCCCAAUGAGACACCAUGAAGACUACGUGGUUGAUAGGUUGGGUGUGUAAGCGCAGUAAUGCGUUGAGCUAACCAAUACUAAUUGUCCAAUGGCUUGACC
rnacentral:rRNA from 1 species